rnacentral:lncRNA from 1 species
UUUCCUGUGCGGAAACACCUUGCUUGGGUGAAGUGUCAGAUGAGGCUAUAUUUUGCUUGGUUGUUCGUCCUCCAUCAUUCUAUUGGCCUCCUGUGCUCAGCGGCACCCGGAUCCUCCUCCUUAUCUCAGGGCCACACCUUACACUUGUCCACUCGGAAUCUGUCUUCUACUUCCCUGCGCCCUGGGCUGGUCCUUCUGCAGCUUCUCUCCCUGUGGUUGAAAAUCUAACCACCCACUGUUGUCAUUUCUCUUUUGUGUAUCCCAUUUCCCCAUUGAAAAUAGCAUUCAAUAAGACAGGUUCCAGCAUGCCUCCUCUGACCACCCCACUGGUAACAGUUCUGCACUCAGAAACACACAUGCUCAGCCCUGCUUUGGGGUUUUGCUUUUGGUAAACCAUUUCUCUUAUCCUUACAAAUUUUUGAAACAUCAUCUUUCUGUCUCAGAUUGCUUCCUCCUUAAAAACCCAGCCCCCAGGGACCUGCCUGUUUCAUCUUUACCCCAUGCCUCUAGUGGCUUUCUUGCUUAGCCAGGUGACACUUUUCAGACAGUUUAGGGAUGGCAUUGAGGUGGGAGGAAGGCAGGCUCUCUGGAUCCUGCCCACCCCUGCCUUUCCCUUAGCCUUCCCUGCGGUGGUACAAACACACAGACCCUUUCAAGUGAGGGCUUCAUUGGCAAUUCGUCCAGACAAUACAAAAGGAGGGUCAAUAAGGGGAAGGGACGAAGGCUCCAGGAAGGUCACUGGGUCCUUCUAGUUUACUUCCUGGUCCCUACUGCAGUGUCCAUGACGAUCCUCAGUCUGUCUUGGGUGUCUUGAAUGGUGCUGAUAUAGUCCCCCUGUUUCUGCUCUUUCUCACAUUCUUCUCCAGGGCCUGUUCCCAGCAAGAUCCCUGUGCCCAAUAUCUUGCAUUUGCAUUGAAGAGGCACUGGCUGCGCCAGGAGAAUGAAGUCGGAGAGAUAUCUCUCCAGGCAUCUCCCUGCUGGCUGGCGUGGGCUGCCUGCAUCCCUCAGGGGAAGGCAUGGCUCUGGCCUGGCUGCCCUCUCUGAGUCUGUUCAUUGUAUAUGGAACCUUCUUUACCCACCUUGCACACCCUUGCUCUUUCAGGUUGUCUUCUACUCAAGGCAGCAGGUCCAAACUUUUGUCAUGAUAAAGAGUCAGAUCACUGAGCUCUGCCAAAAAUACCUGGUUUGGUAGGGUCUCGGCUCCUGCUGGCUCCCUGGCGGAUACAGUCCUUCUCUCCAGUGUCGUUUCUCAACCUCUUAAAUCCAGGUUUCCUCUCCGUAAAUGGAAAAACCUCAUGCUCUGCCAGCAAUUCUAAUGCACCUUUCAGGCACUUUGGGAAGCGCACCUCACCUAGGAUGACUCGCGCCCUGGAGGCUCGGGAAGGACAGGCUGUUUGCUCUGCAGCCCAUCUGCCAAGCAUCCCCAAAGAACAUUCAAGUCUGAGCCUCAAGGAGCCUCUGCGACUCGGUGUCUAGAUCCAGGAAAUGGAGAAUGAGCCGUGACUUUGGAUGCUUCACUCUUGUCCAUCAGGCUCGGAAUUGGUGAGCAUCUCCCACAUUACCGUCUCCAACGGAACAAGGUGCCCCAUUGGACAUUUCCUCUGCAUGGACCAGCCAUUCUCCAAAUCUGCCCCCAUGUCACCCCAGCUCCCCAUCGCAGUCACUUCUCACUCCUUGUCCCCUGUCCCCCUGAGUGACAGGACUUUUGCCAGUUAGGUCCUGUCCCUGUUUCUGAUCUUGGGUCCAUUCCCCAUGGUCCCUUUCUUGCUUGUGCCUUGGGAUCUCAGGCCUGUUGAAGUAGGAGGCAGGACUCAACUUCAGACCAGAUUGAAGACUGGCUGACACAGAAGAGGCACCAAAAGCACCUCUCUCUCCAUAAGACAUGCCCACCAGUGCCAUGACAGUUUACCAUUGCUAUGGCAAUGCCCAGAAGUUCUCACCCCUUUUCCAGACAUUUCUGCAUAAUCUACCCCUCAAUUGGCAUGUGAUCAAAAGUGGGUGUCAAAAUGACUGUGGAACUGUCCCUGAGCUGCUACUCUUGACAUGCUGGUUACAGGGUAGCCCGGCUCUGCAGGGACAGUCACGGAGCUGAAAAACUGCUGCCUAAUGAAGCUGUUUUCUUCUA